ACGGGAGGCAGCAGUGGGGAAUAUUGCACAAUGGGGGAAACCCUGAUGCAGCGAUGCCGCGUGGAGGAAGAAGGUUUUCGGAUUGUAAACUCCUGUCUUAAAGGACGAUAAUGACGGUACUUUAGGAGGAAGCUCCGGCUAACUACGUGCCAGCAGCCGCGGUAAUACGUAGGGAGCGAGCGUUGUCCGGAAUUACUGGGUGUAAAGGGAGCGUAGGCGGGACGGCAAGUCAGAUGUGAAAUACAUGGGCUCAACCCAUGGGCUGCAUUUGAAACUGCUGUUCUUGAGUGAAGUAGAGGUAAGCGGAAUUCCUGGUGUAGCGGUGAAAUGCGUAGAUAUUAGGAGGAACACCAGUGGCGAAGGCGGCUUGCUGGACGAUAACUGACGCUGAGGCUCGAAAGCGUGGGGAGCAAACAGGAUUAGAUACCCUGGUA
rnacentral:rRNA from 1 species